CACCCUAUCUAUCUAUCUAUCUAUAUUAGUGUAGUGACCCACGUGUUACGGCGGAUAGAUACUGUUAAAGUGAAAAUUUGUAAAAAAUAAAAUAUCAGUUUAGUAUAAAAAAUAAUAAAUAUAUAUAGUCUAUAUUAUAGACAAACACUUUUUUUAACAAAAAAUUAUAACAAAAAAGAAUCAAUCGUUCCAACAAAAUUAUUCAAUCUUGUUCAAAAGAGAUCGCAUAUCAUGCAAAUGGAUGAUUAAAAUUAUUUUUAUAACACAAUAAUAAAAAAAAUAUCAUAUUGCAGUUAAUAUGACUAAAGAAAGGCUCACAAUAAUACGUAAAACAAUUUAUAAGUAUUAUAUAUAUA
rnacentral:lncRNA from 1 species